rnacentral:rRNA from 1 species
AGUGAACGCUGGCGGUAGGCCUAACACAUGCAAGUCGAACGGCAGCACAGUAAGAGCUUGCUCUUACGGGUGGCGAGUGGCGGACGGGUGAGGAAUACAUCGGAAUCUACUUUUUCGUGGGGGAUAACGUAGGGAAACUUACGCUAAUACCGCAUACGACCUACGGGUGAAAGCAGGGGAUCUUCGGACCUUGCGCGAUUGAAUGAGCCGAUGUCGGAUUAGCUAGUUGGCGGGGUAAAGGCCCACCAAGGCGACGAUCCGUAGCUGGUCUGAGAGGAUGAUCAGCCACACUGGAACUGAGACACGGUCCAGACUCCUACGGGAGGCAGCAGUGGGGAAUAUUGGACAAUGGGCGCAAGCCUGAUCCAGCCAUACCGCGUGGGUGAAGAAGGCCUUCGGGUUGUAAAGCCCUUUUGUUGGGAAAGAAAAGCAGCAGGUUAAUACCCCGCUGUUCUGGCGGUACCCAGAGAAUAAGCACCGGCUAACUUCGUG